GACGUAGGUGGCGAGCGUUGUUCGGAAUCACUGGGCAUAAAGCGCACGUAGGCGGCCAAGUCAGUCAGGUGUGAAAUACCUCGGCUCAACCGAGGAACUGCGCCUGAUACUGCUUGGCUUGAGGUCCGGAGGGGAGAGUGGAACUCCCGGUGGAGCGGUGAAAUACGUAGAGAUCGGGAAGAACGCCGGCGGCGAAAGCGACUCUCUGGUCGGAAUCUGACGCUGAGGUGCGAAAGCCAGGGGAGCAAACGGG
rnacentral:rRNA from 1 species